rnacentral:lncRNA from 1 species
CAUCUGGAGGGCCGAGGUUGAGGAAGCCUGUCAGAUAAUAUAUUCAUAAGGAUAUUGUUGUUGUUUAGACGUUUAGUUGUGUCCGACUCUUCGUGACCCCAUGGACCAGAGCAUGCCAGGCACUCCUGGCUUCCACUGCCUCCCGCAGUUUGGUCAGACUCAUGUUUGUAGCUUUGAGAACACUGUCCAACCAUCUCGUCCUCUGUCGUCGUCCCAUCUCACCAUCUCGUCCUCUGUCGUUAAUUCAUAAGGAUAUAACCAGCCUUUUUCCAAAUUAAAGAAAGAACUUACUUUCUAACCAUGCAGAUGUAGCUUGUCUAGUUUAGGAUCAGCCACGGUUCUUUAUUCUGGUGUAUGGUUCUGGCGGCAGUUGUCUUGUGCUUCUCUUGUAUAUAAAGAAGAUGAAGUUAUUACACUCAGUAAAGGGUGUGCUAGGAGAACAUUUGUCCAGGAUGCAACAUUUGUGCGGAAUAUGGAAAUGUUUACCUAGGAAGCAGGCAGGGGUGUUCCGGGGAGUGGGGGCAGGGAGCAGUCUGCCCCAGGUACCAGUCCAAAGGAGGGGUGACAAAAUGCUGACCUCCGAUCGGCAGCACACCCCAAGGCACACACUGCUUGCCGCGCACCCCCUGGGACUUGUGCCCUGCCCCCUGAGACAAGCGCUGUUCCGGGUACUGGAGCAUGUUGCUUUGCCUCUGGAAGCAGGGAAGCACUCUCAGGAGAUGUGUUAUGUAAGAAAGAAAGAACAGAAGAAUCUGCUGGAUGAGGUCAAAAGCCCAUCUAGACCACCACCCUGUUUUCACAGUGGCCACCAAAUGGCCACUAUGGAAACUGUGAUGGCCUGGGAAUCCGAUUCAGAGGCUGAACCGGAGGAAUCCCAGCCUGCACAGGAGUCCCUGCCUCCAGGGCCGGCUGAACUGGGGCAGGGCCUUGAUUCUGAAGCACCUGCACCUGUGCCGGAUCCUCAGGAGCAGGCACCAGGUGAAUCCACUCUGGCUCCGGAGGUGGUUGAGGACUCAGUGCCUACAGGUGAGUCUCCCCCUGGGUCCAGUAACCCUUCAGCAUCUCCUGAACUGCAGAGGCUCAGGGCAGAGAGGCGGAGGGAACUGGUUUCUCCCAGGAGGAGUGCUCGCCUUAAGGCCAGGAGAGGCGGGUCUCCUGGGGUCCGGGACCGCCCCUGGCCUCAGAGAAGAUAAAGGCCAGUCAGCCCGGUCCCAGGUUGCGGGAGCAACGUCGUUGAAGAGCUGUUUCGGCCAGCACCCAGUCUGGUUCCCCCAGAGUUCCUGUCCUUGCCCAGCUCCUCACUGUGGACCCCACUUCGCCCGUGGAGGACUGUCUGCCGACCCUCGACUCAGGUCCUGGACCUCGCGCCAUGGUAACCUCCCCCCUGGACCAGCACAGAAACCCAUAAACAGAACCCAGGUGCAACAGCAUUCUCCCUGGUUGUGAUUCCCUGACAUGCUGUGUCCAAAGGUUGAGGAAGAACAUAGCCACUGUGGUUAGCAGCCAUUGAUUGUAUUUUUCUUCAUGAAUCAAAGAGACUGGUGAGAGGUGAGAGUUGCUUACAAGAAGAAGGAGGGCAUGAAAUGAAAGUGCUGCUUAGGAGGCACAGAGUAUAUUUUCUUCUCCAGCACUGGUUAAUUGCAAGAGAGUCUUUAUAUAUUAAGAAUAGUUGCUGGUUAUUUUAGAUCAGAGAAUAUUGUUUCCAGUGUAUAGCCAUAGCUGCCUCCUUCUCCUCCACUUUAUCUGAACUUAAGCAAUGCCAAGGAGUUCCAUUUUACUGAGUUGCUUUAUGCACCUUUAGUUCUUUUUCAGUUGUGUGCAUUACCAAAACUAUUUGCACUGGGCUUAAAUACAAAAAUCAAGGCAGUGCCACUGCUUUUCAAUAAUGGAAGCAGUUUUUUACUUCAAUACAUCAUCAGUACUUCACUUUAUGAAUUGUAAUUUCCCACAGAAUAUUGGAGGAUAUUAUUGUGUAGUCUGACAUGGUUUCACUUAACACAUCAGUGAUGAACAAUAGGCCUCUAGUAACUCUAGUUUUGUUUAAUUCUGAAUAGUUGCAGAGGCAAGAUUGAAUAAUGAUCUUAAUCGGUCAAGUUAAAAUGGAAACAUUCUCAGAGGACACACAAUUGUGCUAUUAAAGGAGAGGAUCCAUAAAGAGAUGCUAAAAGGUGUGAGAGAGAUAGUGUGUAUAUGGAGUGCUUGAGAGAGAAGAAACAGAAAAGAAAACUCCAAACUCAGCUGCAAAACAGGAAAGUAAGAUUCAAAAAUAAACGUUUCAGUGCAAUCAGUCACACUUGAUAAUAGCAGCUGAAUAGGAAGAUGAGUAUACUUAAUACCUGAUGACUCAAUACGGGAUGGAAAUCUUUAAUCAUUAAAUGGACUCUGCUGCUUUUGAGUAGUCCCAUUGUGGUCCUCAGGGUAGUUGAACAAAGACAUGAGUAACACAAAACAGAUAGGUCUUUAAAACCUUCAAUGAAUUUCAUGCCAAGAGAAUAGUUUUCUAAUAGAAUACAGGUCUGGUCAUGCACACACUUUCCCUAUGCAACACCAUUUUCAUGUUUCUUUCCAGUUUCCAGAAAAGAUUGCUAUUACCCAAGAUCCAAUGAAAUAAUUUUUUAAUUGAUAUUACUGUGAGUUAAGUGUGCAUAGCUCCUGCAGAAAUAUGCAGCCUGGCAUGCCAGUCCUAACAGCCUUAGGAUGACCACUUUUGCAUCCCCAAAAGAAAGGACAAAAGAGAACACAGAUUUGCAUAACAUGUGUGAAGGCUUAUGUAAAGUGCUAUUUUUCUAGAAAAAGAGGUAGUGGAACUCUCCAUGAAUGCCUCCCUUGUCUUAUAAUGGCAAUUGCAUCCAGCUAAGAGGUGCUGGAACUAGAUAGCACAGUUGGUUUGAGUGUGGUUUCUGAUAACGCCAAGGGAUCGAUCCUCAUAUGGGAUAGUUGCAUAUUUCUGCAUUGCAGGGAGUUGCUCCAAUCAGCUACAUCGGCUAUCAGAGGCCUUUUGAGUGUCAAAUUCUCCUUGCUGUCCUCUUUACUCACAACUGCACCCAUCUUGCUAGCUACCAAACUACUUACUGAUUGCAAAGAUUGUUUGAAGUGACAUGGAUUAAGGAUUAGUUAGAGGCGUCUCAAAUGAUCUCUGAUGUAAAAGGUAAGGUAAAGGUGAAAGACCACUAGAUGGUUAAGUCCAGUCAAAUUCAACUAUGGGGUGUUGAGCUCAUCUCCGCUUUCAGGCUGAGGGAGCCAGCGUUUGUCCGCAGACAAUUUUUCCAGGCCAUGUGGCCAGCAUGACUAAACUCCUUCUGGCACAACAGGACACCUUGACAAGUGCCAGAGCACACAGAAAUGCCAUUUAUCUUCCUGCCACAGUGGUACCUAUUUAUCUACUCAUGCUGAUAUGCUUUCAAACUGCUAGGUUGGCAGGAGCUGGGACAAAGCAAUGGCAGCUCACCCCAUCGCGGGGAUUUGAACUGCCAACCUUCCGAUCGGCAAGCCCAAGUGGCUCAGUGGUUUAGACCACAGCACCACUCUGAUGUAGUAGCUUUCUAAGGCAAAUCUUGACUGCCUUUUCCUCUGCCAGUUAGUUUGCUGUUUUGAAAAGCACAAAGAGGGUCACUGAUUAAUUUCUCGUUCAGCAGAUAAAACUACAGGUUAGAUUUUCCAGUGGGAUCAUUUCUUUGGAACAUUGUUUGGAUAAUGAUAAUGAUGAUGAUGAUGAUGAUGAUGAUGAUGAUGAUGAUUAUUUCUCAGUGAAAGGGCUUAAUGUUCGUUAUCUGGCAACUUUGUUGCAGCUGCAGAAGUAUGUGGGAGCCUUGGUCUCUUCUACAACCCUAGAAGAGCUCAAUGUAUGCAAAGGGGAUCCCCAGAUUUGUUUCUGACUGGAGAAUUCCUGAGCAUUGAAGGAAAGGGGCUGUCCUUGAUUGCACAUCAUGUUUUUUUGCAUGGUGGUGAAUCUCCUGAAAGUUUUUGGAUUGUUCCUUUUAUCUUUUAGCUCUGUAGUUAAUUAAUUGACAAACUGUGCUGAUUAAUCAGUGAUAGCUUUCCAUCCUACCAUCUGCAGCUUCCUUUUUACUGAAAUAUGUAAAUUUAUGUAGCACAACUAAUUAAGACAACAUAAGGUAUGGAACAAUUUUCUGAAUGGAUCUUAUCCAUAUGGAACCAAAAAUAAGUUUUUUUCCCCUAAGGGCUAAAUCAUCUGUUGCUGAUUUCAACGUUACAGAUUCUGACUAGUGAACACUACAAAACUCACUUAUUGCAAUAACUCUGGUAUAUUUUUUUCCACAUGUUGGCUGUCUUGUUUUUUGUCUGCUGCUUUUAUUAUUUAUAUUUCAUGGUUGCUUUGGUAUCUUUAUAUUGCGAUGAUCAGUUGUCGUGUUUUGUUGCUCUUGGGAUUUCUCUUUCUGCCUCUUUCUUCUUCUUUUUGACACUUUCUGGAGCUUGUCAGAUGUUAUCCCAAUAACAGGUGCUGUCAGAUCCCUCAGUCCAGAAUGUGUCUUCCUGUCAGUCAAUUUCAACACUCUCCAAGAGGAUGCUCUCAAAAAGAGGGGAGCCAUCCACCCAACAAUGCUGUGCAAACUCCAUUUCCCCAGAUUGCUUUGGCUUUUCCAGCACCCAAACAGAAUAUUUUGAAGCAGGCCUUCCCUUUGCCCUUCUGAUCUUGACAACACUCUGGAUUAAUCACAGGAACCAAUCACACCAAUCACAGGAACAAAGAACUCAGCCAACCCUGCUUGUCACUUCUAAGACUGGAACAUUUCUUGUUAACAGCCAGAGUAAUAUAUAAUCUGUUGGGGGCAAAAUGCUGUGACCAGCCUUUUAUCAUGCUUUUUUUCCAGAUAGUACACUCUCACUCAGCCCUUAGGCUAGCCUUGGGCCAAACCAAGUUAAAUGGGCUAAGACAGAGAAACCUAGAUGUCAUUAUUGCUUUAUGCAAGCAUUCUGUGAUAUGCAUGCUCGUUGCAGGUUUUGUAUGUAUGCGACCCUGAAAUGUAAACCAAUUUUACACUGGUAGAUCUACUUUGACAAUGAAAAGCAAGCAAGACAAUCAUCAUUACAGUAUUGAUUGUGUGUGUACGUGUGUGUUGGGGGAAGAGCC